AUCUUUGUGGUUGGGGCAAUGCCGCAGCUAGUGAGGUAAUAACGAGACGCGUUAAUUGCCGGAUGAAAACCAUUCAACCUUAGACCAGUUAGUUUCAUAUUGAAAUUAAUUACAAUAUUUUACAGUAGUUACUUA
rnacentral:snRNA from 1 species